AUUCCCUUCAGCUUCAGGAGUGAGUUGAUUAUUCACAUGUUCUUUUUAGGGGGUUUAAGCUGCUAGUCCUUAAAGAAUAGAUGCUGAAGGUUGUCAUUGAUUCCUCUUUCCUUCCUCCCACGUCUGCUCUGGGCCUUCUCAUUGAUGUAGUAUCUUAGGUUACUUCCAAAAUAAUUUGAGAAAUGGAUUUAUAGAAGAAGCUAGCUUUCCAGUAGAAAAGUUUAGAUGACAAGAUUAAUGUGAUAAGAACUAAGAAAGCCCUUCCUAGUUUUCAUUGAAAAUGUGUUUUUAAUGCCCAGAGGUGCCCAGUCAAAAAGGAAAUAUUACAGAAGGAUUAUUUUCAUCAGCAGAGUUCUUGGGCAUUGCAAGUUCCAGUGUAAUUAGGGAAAUCACAUGCGAGUACAUCAAUACACUUCAGAUGCCAAUACAUUGGGCUUAAUGAGGACAACAAGCCUGCUUUUAUUAGGGGAUUGAAUAAAAGUGAAAGGAGUUCUUGAAAAGAAUUGGUAAUUUUGGAUGGGAUAAUUCAUCACUUCACUCCAGAUCAGUUUUUCACAGUAAGAAGUGCUGGCUCUUCAGAAAAUUUGGCAUAACCAAAGUUUAUUGUCACUAUCUCCUCCUUCUCACAUUGUCCUUUGUCGCACCCCCAGCAGGUCCACAGUGAUCCUGCGGGCCACCCCCAUGGACCCUGCCCGUUUUCUUCCAUCGGGGGCUAUCUUACGUCAGUCUUUCAAGGUCUCCUCAGUAAUGCAGGCCAGUUGGAUUUUUGCUUUCUUUUCCCAGAGGACAAUUCAGCCUCAGCGUCUUAGUCUAAAAGGAUUCAUGCAAGCGUGUCAGAUGUUUUAUUAGGCUAAGGGGGAGGUAUUUUGGGUUGUGGGGAGCACUUACUGCAACCCUGUAUGAAAUUCCCUACUCAGUGAUGUUCAGGCUGCACGGGCCAACAUGGAAAGGGCUUAAGGGAGAUGACAAAAACAAAAUCUCUUCUUCCACAAAGAUUUUCAGUUGAUCAAUUUUGUUACUUUUUUGUGAUGAAACUAUCUGCACUGCAGCUAAUGAUUUUUUUCUGAAGGUGGAAAAGGUAGGAGCAACAGCUUUCAGUUCUAAGGAUACAUUCUGUUGACCUUCAUAAGCCCUAGGAACUAGAGGGGCAAGAUUGAGGAGGAAAUAGAGAAAAUAAUUUGCUCUAUAGUAUUUUCCCCCUGAGCUGCCAUCUGGGGCUUUCAGAGCUUAGCACUGCACUCUUGCAAUGUUGCACACACCACAGGAGCAAUAUCAAGAGAUGUCAAACAUGAGUGGUAUUGGUCACUGGAAACAGCAGAUUCCAAAUAGCUGUCUCACCAGACUAUUCUUUCAGAAGAUUCAUUUGUGCCAACUACUUCUUUGUCAUGGAUCCUUCCUGGUUCUGCAACACAGAUGUGGAAAGUGAAGAGAACACGUCAUGGAAUUCCAUUUCUAAGAGUGGAAAAUAUACAAUUUACCAUGGGAUGUUUAAGAUAUUAAUAUAUUGUUCACCAUGUGUAUCCAGAGCUUUAGUAGAAGUAGGUUAAAAGAGCCGUGCAUGUAUACACGGUGCUCCUCAUUGUCAAACGCUGAAGCCUGUUACAGGCUGGGUUUGGGGGCUGGGGGUACUUACGGGACAAAGUCUGACUCUCGGUCUGUAGGCUGAGUGCCUUCUUAGUGUGUUGGGACUCAGCAUGUAUUCACCCCAUCUGUACUCACAAGCCUAAUUCAUUAAUCAGGAUGACUUACUGGGCUGUGAGCCCUUUGAGGACAGGACCUUGUACCUUUAUCUUGUGCCUCUCAUGCCUAGCAUAGCACCAGGCAUGUAACACGUUCUUUUUAAAAAAGUGUUUUACAGCUUUAUCAAGGCAUACAUGAUGUCAGAUCAACUGCAUGUGUUUAAAGUUUUACACUUGAUGAGUUUUGAUAUAUGUCUAUACCCGUGAAACCAUCACUGCAAUCAAGAUAAUAAACGCAUUCAUCCACCCUAAAGUUUCUCGUGUCCCUUUGCAAGCCACCCCCCUUCCUCCCAUUGUUCCCAGACAACCACUAUUCUGCUUUCUGUCACUGCAGAUGAGUUUGUGUUUUCUGGAAUUUUAUAUAAGUGGAAUCAUACAACAUGUACUCUGUUUUUCUGGCUGUUUUCACUCAGCAUAAUUUUCUCAAGAUUCAUUGAAGUUUUAUAUAUUAAUAGUUUGCUACAUUUCAUUGCUGAAUAGUAUUCCAUUGUAUAAAUCAUAAUAGGCACCUAACAAGUGUUUGUGGCUUUACACUGACUUGAAAAUUAAUUUUUAAGAAUAUAAUUGGGCAAAAAGUGGACAAUGGGAUACCACUCUAUUCUUGGUGAGUGGGUUCACUCAGGAAGUGGAAAUAAGAAUCAGGAGAUAAUUUGGCAUGGUAGAGACUUUUGUUGUCAUCCAAUAUCUAUUUUUCCUUCUUUCUUAGUACUGGAAUACCUGAGUUUUGGCUGGGCACAGAACUGUCUGGAAUACAGACUGCAAUUCCCAGCCUUCUGUGCAGUUCUGUGUGGCCAUGUGACUAAGUUGUGGUCAAUAUGAGUCACGGAAGAAUAGAAGAACAACUCAGAGGAGGAAGAAGUCAGACAUAGCCAGACACGGCUGCUAGCAGUUCCACCAAUGAAAGAGGAGACCAGGAUGUUUAAAACAGGCAAACACAAGGUGCGAAAAACCAGAAGCGAAAACUUCUGAGGUCAUUUAAGCAAGGACUAUCGUUAUCCCCGGAAGCAGAGAGAAGUUCCCUUUGCCCAACAUCACACUGCAAGCACGUGUUGGAGCUGAGAUUCAAACCCAGGCAUCCAGGGUCCAGGGCCCAUGCUUUUAAUAUAUUCCAUAUCUUAGGAGAAUUUCCCCUAUUUAAACAAUAAAAGUGCAAAAAUCUUGUGGCUAGCCAAAAUUUUCAGUUGUUUGGAAAACUUAUUUAUCCAAUAAGUGGAAAACUCACUUGUCCUCCAACAAUUCUGGAUAAAUGAAAGAACGAAUUGAACUGAGACUGGAAUCCGGGUCUCCCAGUACUUUGUAGUUCCUAUCCAUAUGGCUUGUCAGGAAGGCCACAGGGAGGUUAACUAACUCUGCGUAACCAGAAACAAUCCCACAUCAGACUGUUGGCAGUGGGAGUGGAACACUCAGAGCUGAACCGCAUGCAAGAUGGUUGCAUUUUCAUUUGCAAUGUCGUCAUCUUCCUCAUGGCUAAAGAGGUAUUUUGGAGUUGACAUGAAGGCUACUGUAAUUUUUAGAGGCAUUUUCUUUCUGGCCUGUAUUUACAUAUUGUGGUAGAAGAGUCAGAAGACUUCAAGCUUCAAAAGUGAAUCUUGUUGCGAGUUACAAAAGCACCACCCGGUGGGGUGCAGCUCUCAGCAUGUGUCACCACAGGCACUGUGAUUUCCCUGUCUUCAUCCAACUUUGGUUGCUGUUCUUCAUGCUCAGGAAUUCUGCAACUGCUGUAGCUUUUGCUGUUGUUAUGUCUGUAGGUAUGGACUCAUUUCUACCAUUCUGGAAUGAAACAUUAUUUCAAGGGAAGCUUCUCAUUGUAAAAGGUCCACACAUUCAGAAGGAAACUGGGAGUACAUUUUCUCAUAGGCCUGGAGCAUUAACUGACUAUGCAUCUUUCCCCUCAGUGUUGUCAUCAUGUUGUAAGGGGAUG
rnacentral:lncRNA from 1 species